UGCUAGCAUAUGGCGUCUUAACUGCCAAAAAAUUAAAACAACAGUAUUUAAAUUUCAUGCUUCCAAAUCUGUAUUUACCUUCACUUGGAAUACUGAAAGCCAAAUAUUUGAAAGUAAAGGAUAUAUAAGAACUGCUUUCGUGUUUUAUAUUCCGGUCUUGCAUUCAAUGAUGACCACUUCAAUACUUAAUUGAUAGGGGUUGGCCAAGGAUGCAUGGGGUUUUGUUACCCGAAACUUUUCGUACAAUUGAAAUUUUAAAAAUGUUUACCCAACUGUCCUUUAAAUAUAUAUAUUGCAUAGGUAACAAGAGGCUCUCAAGAGCCUGAAUCGCUCACCUUAAUUCUUUUGGUUAAA
rnacentral:lncRNA from 1 species